GACGAACGCUGGCGGCGUGCUUAACACAUGCAAGUCGAACGGAAAGGCCCUGCUUGCAGGGUACUCGAGUGGCGAACGGGUGAGUAACACGUGGAUGAUCUGCCCUGCACUUCGGGAUAAGCCUGGGAAACUGGGUCUAAUACCGGAUAGGAGCCAUUUUUAGUGUGAUGGUUGGAAAGUUUUUUCGGUGUAGGAUGAGCUCGCGGCCUAUCAGCUUGUUGGUGGGGUAAUGGCCUACCAAGGCGGCGACGGGUAGCCGGCCUGAGAGGGUGGACGGCCACAUUGGGACUGAGAUACGGCCCAGACUCCUACGGGAGGCAGCAGUGGGGAAUAUUGCACAAUGGGCGCAAGCCUGAUGCAGCGACGCCGCGUGGGGGAUGACGGCCUUCGGGUUGUAAACUCCUUUCGCUAGGGACGAAGCUUUUUGUGACGGUACCUAGAGAAGAAGCACCGGCUAACUACGUG
rnacentral:rRNA from 1 species